UACGUAGGGGGCGAGCGUUGUCCGGAAUUAUUGGGCGUAAAGAGCUCGUAGGCGGUUUGUCGCGUCUGCUGUGAAAACCGGAGGCUCAACCUCCGGCCUGCAGUGGGUACGGGCAAACUAGAGUGCGGUAGGGGAGAUUGGAAUUCCUGGUGUAGCGGUGGAAUGCGCAGAUAUCAGGAGGAACACCGAUGGCGAAGGCAGAUCUCUGGGCCGUAACUGACGCUGAGGAGCGAAAGCGUGGGGAGCGAACAGG
rnacentral:rRNA from 1 species